GUUGUAGGUAGCUCAUUGGUAGAGCACUUGCCUGGCAUGUGUGAGGCCCUGGGUUUGAUCCUCAGCACCACA
rnacentral:tRNA from 1 species